rnacentral:misc_RNA from 1 species
GUUCGAUUCUGGCUCAGAUUGAACGCUGGCGGGAUACUUACAUGCAAGUCAGACGGCAGCACGGACUUCGGUCUGGUGGCGAGUGGCGAACGGGUGAGUAAUGUAUCGGAACGUGCCUAGUAGCGGGGGAUAGCUACGCGAAAGCGCAGCUAAUACCACCUUAAUACGCCCUUCGGGGAAAGCGGGGGACCUUCAGGCUCGCACUAUUAGAGCGGCCGAUAUCCAGUUGGCUAGUUGGUGGGGGUAACGGCUCACCAAGGCGACGUCCAGCUGGUUUGAGAGGACGACCAGCCACACUGGGACUGAGACACGGCCAGACUCCUGCGGGAGGCAGCAGUGGGGAAUUUUGGACAAUGGGGGAAACCCUGAUCCAGCCAUCCCGCGUGUGCGAUGAAGGCCUUCGGGUUAUGCAGCACUUUGGCAGGAGAAAGAAACGGCACGGGAUAAUACCCCGUGCAACUGACGGUACCUGCGGAAUAAGCACCACGGCUAACUACGUGCCAGCAGCCGCGGUAAUACGUAGAGUGCAAGCGUUAAUCAAGAUUACUGGGUAAUAAAGCGUGCAGGCGGUUCGGAAAGAUGUAAUCCCAGAGGCUUAACUUUGGAACUGCAUUUUUAACUACCGAGCUAGAGUGUGUCAGAGGAGGUGGAAUUCCGCGUGUAGCAGUGAAAUGCGUAGAUAUGCGGAGGAACACCGAUGGCAGGCAGCCUCCUGGGAUAACACUGACUCAUGCACGAAAGCGUGGGG